GGGGUCGUGGCGCAGUUGGGAGCGCGCUACCAUGGCACGGUAGAGGUCGUGGGUUCGAAUCCCAUCGACUCCACCA
rnacentral:tRNA from 4 species